ACACAUAUAAGUCGCACCGGAGUACAAGUACAUUUUUGGGGAAACUUUAUUUGACAAAAUACAACACCAAGAACAGACAUGAAUAGGCAACACGAUACGGUAUGCUAACGUUACAUAAAUACAAACGAGGAACUGAAAACGUGCCUGACGCGACAUAUUAACAGUUAUUCAAACAACUAUGAAAUGUCAAGU